rnacentral:misc_RNA from 1 species
UCUCCGUAGGUGAACCUGCGGAGGGAUCACUACAGCCUAGCAAAAGUUCUGAAACCACUGUUUAACUACCUGAAUCUGCUUCGGCGGGCGGUCCCACGUCGGGGCCGUUGCCGAAAGGCGCCCGCCGAAGACCCCUAAACUCUGUCGUCUUGUGAAUCUCUGAGUACCAUAUUAAACAAAAAAACAACUUUUAACAACGGAUCUCUUGGCUCUC